CUGGUCUUGUUCUUUGUCUCGUCACAUCAGGUGCAGGUGCAGCCUCACACCAUAUGGAUACAACAGGUGCUGACUUCGUGCAUAAACAGAAAAGCUGAUUCAGUGAUGUAAUUCAGUAAUGGAGGUUGCAGACUGUCUAAACAUCAAGAACAUGAUUACUGCUGAAAUGUACACCCUCAGCAGACCCUGAACUUUUUGCUCCUAUUUUGGAUGUAAACGGUGCUGAGGAUAGGAACACGGAUGAAUACAGGUUUCUCUGCCCUCAUGCUGGUCAUUUUAAGUGCAAAUUGACCAACAUUGUGUUUGAGACGGAAGGUAAAGGGGAAGUGCUGUACAGAAUAGUAUACUGGGACAGGAGACUCUUGGAUGGAUUGGGUCAAAAGGAGCCUGCGGGACCUCUGUAUAAUCUCAACAGCCCUGAAGGUUGUAUCUGUCGUCUGCACUUUCCACACUGUGAGACCGGUACGUUGACCUUUCACUAACAUUUAAUAAAAGGUGUGUAGGUGAAUAUUGUGUGUGAUGCUGCAAUAUUGUAUUUAACAUGACUGAGAAUGACUUGCUCAUCGCAAGAUACAAGUUUAAAAUGAGAAUAAAUUGCAUAUAGACGC